AAGCGAGCCGGGGCCGGUUCAUGAUCGACUCGUUUAAUAAAUGAGCCGAACAUGAGCUGGUUCGUUAAAGUAUCGAGCCGAAAAAUUCAGCUCGUAUUCGGCUCAUUAAUAAACGAGCCAAACACAAGCUGGCUCGCGAGCUGACCAACGAACAAUAAGUUAAAAAAGAUUAGGUUGAAUAUAUAUAAAAAAUAAAUAUAUAAGGUUUUAUCCAUUAGACUUUGAUCUAAUAGUUGAAAUUUUACAUAUAAAUGAGUCUUUUUAUAAUUGAGCUCACCUUUAUAUUUUUAUUUUGUUAAAAAUUAAAUAAUAAAAAUAUAUAUUAUAUAUAUAAUUAUUUAUUUAUAUAUAAAUAUAAGUUAAAUAAAUUAUAUAAAUAUAAAAUAUAUGUAUUCGAGCUGUUAUCGAGCCGAACACAAGUAAGCUGACCCCAGCUCAUGUUCGGCUUGAAUGAGCCGAAAAAUUCAGCUCGUGUUCGGCUCGUUUACUAAAUGAGCGAUUCGAUCUCGAGCUCAUUUCGAGUCGAACACGAGUGGCUCGCGAACAGCGAGCUGGAUUGUCACCCCUACCCCAACUCUUGUUUGGGUACAAUACGGGGGGAUAAGA
rnacentral:lncRNA from 1 species